ensembl:ncRNA C14H10.5 ncRNA
UCUGUGAAACGGGGCUCAAUGUGUGCUUUAUUUCAUUGCGUUUACGUUUUUUUUUGAGAAAUGAAGAACGAAUGACACAACCGCACACCGGGCCUCCCACAAGCGAAGCUGCAGGCCACAACCAAAAUUGAUGGGCCCUUGAGCUUCGUUUUGGUUAAAUAUGAAUAUUCGCACGCACC